UUGCAAAAGCAGAUAUCUACUGAUUGCUUGCAAUCAGAGGAAAGUCUGGACAUCACGAGAACAGCCUAGAAGAUAACGACUUCGGUCUUGUAAUAUAUUUGAAAUACAAGAAACGGCCAGUGCCACAGAGACUAUACUAUUCCUUCGGGAAGAAAGGUGAAAAGUCACUUUCAGAGUGAUCCCCUGUCGCAAGGCAGGUGUGGUGGUAAACCCUAGGUGAUGCAAUGGGAAUGGUUCUAUGAUGAGUUAGUGUUCUCUAUCGCUCAGAAAUAGAAUACCCAGCUUGAAUUAUACAGUGAUGUAUAAUCUAGAUAGAUUGAUAUCGAGAUACAGAAUCCGGCUUAUUACUUUUGCACUUUA
rnacentral:RNase_P_RNA from 1 species